GUGAGGAAUAUUGGUCAAUGGACGAGAGUCUGAACCAGCCAAGUCGCGUGAAGGAAGACGGUUCUAUGAAUUGUAAACUUCUUUUGUGCAGGAAUAAAGUGGGUUACGUGUAACCUUUUGUAUGUACUGUACGAAUAAGGAUCGGCUAACUCCGUGCCAGCAGCCGCGGUAAUACGGAGGAUCCGAGCGUUAUCCGGAUUUAUUGGGUUUAAAGGGUGCGUCGGUGGAUUGAUAAGUCAGCGGUGAAAGUUUGCAGCUUAACUGUAAAAUUGCCGUUGAAACUGUCGGUCUUGAGUGCAAAUGAGGUAGGCGGAAUGUGUUGUGUAGCGGUGAAAUGCUUAGAUAUAACACAGAACUCCGAUUGCGAAGGCAGCUUACUGGGAUGCAACUGACACUGAUGCACGAAAGCGUGGGUAUCAAACAGGAUUAGAUACCCGUGUAGUCC
rnacentral:rRNA from 1 species